rnacentral:rRNA from 1 species
UACGAAGGGGGCUAGCGUUGCUCGGAAUCACUGGGCGUAAAGCGCACGUAGGCGGUUCUUUAAGUCAGGGGUGAAAUCCCAAGGCUCAACCUUGGAACUGCCUUUGAUACUGGGGAUCUCGAGUCCGGAAGAGGUUGGUGGAACUCCGAGUGUAGAGGUGAAAUUCGUAGAUAUUCGGAAGAACACCAGUGGCGAAGGCGGCCAACUGGUCCGGCACUGACGCUGAGGUGCGAAAGCGUGGGGAGCAAACAGG